rnacentral:rRNA from 1 species
GAUGAACGCUGGCGGCGUGCCUAAUACAUGCAAGUCGAGCGAACGGACGAGAAGCUUGCUUCUCUGAUGUUAGCGGCGGACGGGUGAGUAACACGUGGAUAACCUACCUAUAAGACUGGGAUAACUUCGGGAAACCGGAGCUAAUACCGGAUAAUAUUUUGAACCGCAUGGUUCAAAAGUGAAAGACGGUCUUGCUGUCACUUAUAGAUGGAUCCGCGCUGCAUUAGCUAGUUGGUAAGGUAACGGCUUACCAAGGCAACGAUGCAUAGCCGACCUGGGAGGGUAAUCGGCCACACUGGAACUGAGACACGGUCCAGACUCCUACGGGAGGCAGCAGUAGGGAAUCUUCCGCAAUGGGCGAAAGCCUGACGGAGCAACGCCGCGUGAGUGAUGAAGGUCUUCGGAUCGUAAAACUCUGUUAUUAGGGAAGAACAUAUGUGUAAGUAACUGUGCACAUCUUGACGGUACCUAAUCAGAAAGCCACGGCUAACUACGU